AUGGAUGAGAAAUUCAGCAUUGGCCGGGCGUGGUGGCUUAUGCCUCUCUAUGGGAGGUUAUGGGUGAACUGGCUCUGUAGCCGUGGCAGCAGCCGAGAUGGGCUGGUCGGGGACUGGCUGCCGCUGACCCAAGUGAAGCUAACUGCUGGCAUCAGCCAGGGCCGCAGUGUGUCACUGCUACCAGGCUGGGCAGCUGUGGCCAAGGACAUCCUGGGUGAAGCAGGGCUGCACUUUGAUAAGCUGAACAAGCUGCGGGUGUUGGAUCCAGAGGUUACCCAGCAGACCAUAGAGCUCAAGGAAGAGUGCAAGGACUUUGUGGACAAAAUUGGCCAGUUUCAGAAAAUAGUUAGUGGUUUAAUUGAGCUUGUUGACCAACUUGCAAAAGCAGCAGAAAAUGAGAAGAUGAAGGCCAUCGGUGCUCGGAACCUGCUCAAAUCUAUAGCAAAGCAGAGAGAAGCCCAACAGCAGCAACUUCAAGCACUAAUAGCAGAAAAGAAAAUGCAGCUAGAAAGUAUUGGGUUGAAUAUGAAGCUUUGUGUAAAGUAGAAGCAAAACAAAAUGAAUUUAUUGACCAAUUUAUUUUUCAGAAAUGAACUGAAAAUUGCACUUUUAUAGCAGGAAGGCAAACCAAAAACCCCCAUACCAUUCCAGCAGCUUGACUAAUGAUCUAAGUGUGUCACAGUGUGUGCGGAGCACAGCCCUCUGAAGGCAGCACUUAGAGGCUGGGGGGCUCAUUUUGAGCAUCAGUGCACAGCGGCCACUGGUGGCCACGUAGUAGGGUCUCACCUCUUGCAUUCUUAGUUUGAACUAAGCAGACUGUAAGCUUUGAUCCUUUUUUUGUAAAUUUACAAAGCUCUGGAAAGAAAAGCAAUAAAUUGUUUUCAAAUGGCAAAAAAAUAAAAAAAAAUUGUGUGGACAUAGUUUUCAAAUCAAUUAAGUAAAUACUGAGGAGCACAAUUUGUGGAUUAUAUCUAAGACUAUGUUACUUAAUAAGUCACUUUGUAGGAAUUGACAAACUAUCUUUCAAAGUAGCCUUUUUUUAUAUAUUUUUAGUUGGCCAAUUAAUUUCUUUCUUUU